GUGUGUGUUCAAGUACAAGUGUUAUUGUGUUUUGACAAAUAUUAUUUAUUUAUGACCUGUGAUGCAGAGAUGGAGGUCCCAUUUAUCGAUUUGGUGACAAGUGUGCCCAUAACCCACACCGGCAACAUGUACUUCACACAGAUUGAUGAAACUGAAGUUGUUGAUGAGCCAUUUGUAGAGGAGUUCGUAGACCGCGUAACAAGCAGCGAUCACAGUGCCGGUGAUGCUCGAAACCAAGUGCCAGGUAUCUGCAGUGCUUGCCAGGCGAUUCUCUGUCCAGGCAUGAUUUCCAAAAAAGUAAUAAUUUGUUUUGCAUGCUACACAGGUGAAGCUGAAGUUCAUGCAACUCUGAACGGAGACAUAAUCCCUGAAUGCUUGAAAUUUCAGACAAACAUUAAUGGUGAGCACUUUCGGUGGAAAUUAGAACAGAGGAAAUCUAUACUGCAUGUAUGAGCACUGCCUAAAAAAUUGCUGAAAUUCGC
rnacentral:lncRNA from 1 species